rnacentral:tRNA from 1 species
GCUGGUGUGGCUCAGUGGUGGAGUGCUGACCUAUGAGCCAGGAGGUCAGGGUUCGAUUCCCGGUCACGGGCA